rnacentral:tRNA from 1 species
AGGGUUGUAGUUAAAAAUAACAUUUGAUUUGCAUUCAAAAGGUACUAGAAUUAGUCUACCUU